GGGAAGAUUGGCAACAGUUGUUAGCUCAGGUGCCAAUCUUUAAAGAAAAAAAAAAGAGUAAGCUCCAGUUUUGCUAUAAACUUUUGUGGUUGCUGACAAAUCUACUAAUCUCUCAGUUUCCCCAUUACUGAAAAGAGCAACGUUGUGAUGAAGAGAUGUUAAACUACCAAUCCCGCUGGUCAAGUGGAUGGGGAAACAUAAGGUGUGGCAGUGUUCUGGCAUCUUUGGAAGAAAAGAUAGCAACUCAAUGUGAUACUAUUGGCAGUAAUAUUUUCAGUACCCUUUGUUAAUUAAAAAAGAAAGCUCCUAGGUAUACAUGAUUUUAAGAAGAAGCCAUAGUCUGUCACAGAUGGGUUAGUUAUUUAUAGACAUUUAAUGGCAUCUCCUUUGGUCAGGUGAAUCAUCACCAUCUAUUCUGUGUUUCUUGUAUAUAUGAAUUUCGUGUAUGCACAGGUGUGAUUGUAUAUCACUUCAAGUGGUAAUAUACCUGUAAUUUUAAGUUGUAACUUUAACACUCACAAAAGAACAUUGAAAGACAUCGCCAAUUUGUAGACUUCUGGGUUGCAGUUCCAUAUGUAUGUUCCUAUUAUUAGCUUAUAAAGUUUUAAAAAAUAUAUUUGAGUGUAGAAACUUAUAUAAAGUGGCUUUAGACAUGAAGGAUGUCUAAGUGUUCUUGACUGACAAUCUGAAUGUCGUUCUAACCUGGCUAAUUGUACUACUUUUAAUUCAUAGGAACCAAAGGUUGAAAGGCACAGAUAGAAUCUUGACUACUUUGUAUUCUCAGUUAUGUUUUAAUUCCAAAAUAACUAGCUCUUUAGUCACUGGAAACAAAACACUUUUAGCAUUUAACGUUAGAAUACUUGAAAUCCUACUUUGACAGCGUUCAUACUCAUUAAAAGCUCAACCCAUGAUCCAUGUUUGCGCAAGGAUUUGGGUGUUACUUAAAAUGGCCGUGUAAUGAGCUGCUCUCUGCAAAUUAAUACUCACACCCCUCCCUCAUCUGUAACCUGAGGUCUUUGGACAGGAGGGAAGCUAGUAAGAAAUAAAGAAAUAGGGAGAAAAUGCAAAAUCAAGGUGAAAUGUUAAGCAUAGGGUCAUUCCAGUUGUGGCCAUCAAAUCCCUAAUGAAUAAUCAUAACGGUAUUAUUAUGACACUCAUUUUGUGGCAUUUACCUGUUUUUAAACUAAAUUGGCCAGAUACAAAUAUAUUUUUGUCUUCAAAUAUUUAGAAUAUGUUCUCUAUCUUCACCCCAUUUUUUCUAGAUUUUGAUACUAAUCUUUCUUUUUUGCAUAUUGCAUAUGUUUAUUCAACAACUGAUCUAAUUCUAGAUUUUUAGUUUAUAAAUAUUUCAUUCUUACUUGUUUUAUGGAUACUCCAUCAAUACAAUGGUUCUACACUCUAUGGAAUCAUAGGGGGGUUGAAAAAAAUCAACCCCUCCUACAAAAAUGUAUAUUUUCAAGAAAGAUAAAUUAUGUGGUGAUGAUUCAGUCACAUUAUUCAAAUGUUCUCCACUGAAUUUCUUUAAGCUUAACUACAGUGUUUAAAAUAAUUUUGCUUAUUAAUAUUUUAUUUUGGUGUGAGAAAAAAAAUUCUCCUAGCAGGAUCAACCUUAUGUUUCGAACAAACAGUUCCAAAUAUCUGCUUGUUCAUUCAUUCAGCAUAUAUUUAGAAGCCUACUAUGUGCUGGCCUCUUUGCUAGACUUGGGGAAAAGAAUUGUAAAAUAGACAACAAAAGGAAGCCCUUGUUCUAAUAGGUCUUAUAUUUUAAUAGGGGAACAGACACUAAAGAAAUAAAUGUGAUAAUUUCAAAUAUUCCUAAGUAUUAAGAAGAAAGAAAACAGCAGGGGAAGGUGGGGGUGAGGGCGCCUCAGGCGUCUGGCAGGUGGGCCUGAGGAAAGCGUCUCUGAGCCAAGGGCAAGCUCCUUGUCAGUAGCCAGUAGCUAAGGCGGAGAGACAAGUGCAGACAGUGGCUCUGUGAUAGAGACCCGUGUGUGAUGGGGAGGGAGCUGGGGCAGGCCUUGUGGACCUUGUCAGGACUUGGAUUGGAUUUUAAGUGUGAUGGAAAGCCACAGGAGGGUUGUAAGCAGAGGAUUAAGGUAGUCUGAUUUACAGUUAAAAAGAAACCUUUUUGUUUUCUUAGCCUCUCACAGUUUUGAACAUAAGUAUGUUUAUACAGAUCUAAAAAAAAAACUUCUCUUAGAUAGUCAAAGAUAAGUUUCUCUUUAUAGGGCUAUAACAUUGUGUCUUACUAAAAUGGUAGAAAUAUUUAACAAUCAACAUGACAUUUCUUAUACAGAGAUUUAAUAACUUGGUUGCUGUCAACUGAUUAAAUACCGGUGUGAGAGAGAUCUUUUUCUUCAUGAAACCCUAACUAACUUAAUGGCAGUGAUUUUGUUUACUCAAGAAGAACUUGAAAUGCCCCACUUAAAAAAAUAAAACAACUCUGAACAACAGUGAGAAAGGAGACCGUUUUGUGUCAAUGUAAUUAUUAGAUAAGUGUGGUGGAAUCACCUGACAAGGAGAGCUAAUUUUAGGGAGGCUCAGGGCUGAGCCUCGUUUUUCCAAUGAGAUAAAAAUAUUCACAGAUAAGUCUAGGGACACUUGGAUGCGUUCACUUAGUCAUGAAAGAUCCACAGAGGAGGGCCCUUGAUGGGAGAGCUUAGUUAUGAAGCUUACGAAUAUUGAUCGUAUUACUCGACAAGAGCACCCAGAUUCAUCUUCUUUUGGAGUUGUCGCUUGCUCAGCACACAUGUGUUGAGUUCCUGCUAACUUGACCAGCACUGCCUGCUUGCUAAGGUUACAAAGAAGCUACUCCAGGAUGUGCCCCACCAAAAUGAAGGAAUGAAGCAAGAGAAAGGAAGACAAUGGAUACAGGAUACAGGCAAAGGGAGCUCCCAGGAGAAAAGGAAGGGAGAGCCUGGGUGGUGAGUGUGCACCUGGUGUCCAGGACCAUCUGUCUGCUCCACACAUGUCACAAGAUGUGAGGAAAGACUUCUGUAAGAAGAUGAAAAUGAAAGAAUUCCUGAUAUGUUUGAGCAUUUUAAGAAAAAGGUUAAACAAAUUGUUGGAGAGUUUGGGGUUAAAGUAAUAAUAGUAUGCAGACUAUUUGACAAAACAAAACCAACUCCAAGGAAACAAAAGUUUGAGCCAAAAAGAAAAGAAUUCCAGUCUACAUAUGAUAGAACUUAGCUCUUAUAACCUUUCUACAUCUACUAUAAAAUAGACACCAAGUAUUAAUCCAAACAGACAUGACCUAAUGGUAUUGAGUGGACCAAGAGAUGGGAAGGGGGAUUGCGUGAUGGGCAGGGAGCAGGUGGGGAAAGAAAGCUAUGCUCUUACGUGAGAAGUCAUGGAAAAUGCCUACACCUGAAAAAUCAGAUUAGCAAUAUAAACAAAUAUAGCACACUUAAAGUUGUGAAAGUAAACACCAAAAACGUCAAUCAACCAACUCAUGGAACAAGUGAAAUAAAAUAGCCAGAAAUGCUGAAUAUGGCUGUUUGAAGUGGGGAGAAAGAUGCUGGGGGGAGGCAUGAGGGACUGUUAUUUUCACGAAAAAAAAUAUAAGCUGGAUCCUAUAAACUAUGUGCAUGUAUAACUUUGGUUAAAAUAAACAAAACAGUUUAACUACACAAAAAUACAGUUAAGAGGUGAUCUAAUAAUAUCCAAAUGUGGGGAAAUUUGUCUUUUCUCAGGGUGAUAAUUCACUGUUUGUUGCAUUUAUGAAGUCGAGUUUGGGUUAAUGUUGUGUUCUGGUAAGGGUUGUUCCAUCCGAGUUUCUAAACAGAUGAGGCGUUUCCUUUCCUGAGCUGUGUGGGACUAAUGAUGCACACUCAGCCGUCUGGCAUGGCUUACGUGCAGUUAUGGAGAAAGGCUCUGGCUCAGCUUCUGGGUUCCUUGGAACUCUGGGGGCCUCUGGCGGAGGUGUGGGCUGAAGGACAGAGCACUAGCUUUGUAGACCGAUAGACCUAAGGCCAAAGUCCAGCUCAAUAGUAUGUUCUUCAUGUGACCACAGAAAAGUUGCCUAGCCUCUCUGAACCAUAAUUUCCUGAUCUGUAAAAUGGGGCUAUAUGAUACCCACCUCAUAGCAGUGCUGAGUGAUUCAAUGAAAUUAUGCUUAUAAAGCACUUGGCAGAUGUUCAAAAAAUAUCAGUUCCCUCCCUUCUGAGGUAGGAACCUCGUCACAGGUUCACAACAGUAAUCAUUUGAGUCAUAUUAUGAUGGUGCUUAUUCAACUCUAAUAGAAUCAGGUGCAGAAUUAAAAUACGUAUUUAAAUAUAUGCUUGUUUUACCUUUUACAUGAUGCAAAACAACCAGUUCUCCCAUCCUAGAUGGAUAUGCUUUAAAAGAUAAUUGAUUUGCUCAAAUUAGAUAGCUGUUUUGAUGUCUUGUAGACACAACUUGAGUGUUCAUGUGUUACGUGUGGCCUGGUACCGUGAGAAGACUUCAGAAAUGCUACGGCCUGUACGUGAUGGAAUAGUCAAAACAUGCCCAUCCAACCAGUCUCCCGACUUGCUAUGUAACCCCUUGAGACCCUGUGAAUCAUAGUUUAUAAACAACUAUUCAUAGAUACAGGUAUUUCCCCUAGGGUAUUAUUUAUGCAAGGCUGCUGGGAGCAACUUUUUUUGCCUUGCUAAGUAUUAACGCCAGCACCUGGCCCACAAAGGCAGUGCUGUGGAGGAGGCAGAAGGAUCCACUUUGGAAGAGGGGCUGAAGAGGCCCCUUAGCGAGCGGCGCCAGGAACAGUCAGCCUUUGAAGAAAAGUCUUCCUAAGGAACAAGGACCAGGUGGCCCUGUGGUCCUCCGUGGUUCAUGAAGAGCAAGCUGCCACUUACUCAGCUUUGGGAUUCUGCCCAAAAUGGAUUUCCACAUGAAAGAUUAAAAACAAACGAAAACAAAAACAAAAAUGACAAAUUGAUCUCUGUGUUGCUGCCUUUCCAGUCUGCUCAGAUGUGAACCCUUCAGUGCCCAUCCCAGGAGUGCCUAUUUUCACAUUGGAAUUCUUUCACUCAAUAAAAAUAUUUCCAAAAUCUUACAUAUUUAAAAAAAUGCAGCCGGUAACCAUUUUUGUUUUUUGAACUGGCUCACAGUAAAAUAGAUUUCUCACCUUUGAUCUAGGUGAAAGAGCAUUGAGUUCCUACUUGUAUUAUUCCAUUUUCUCUAUCUCAAACAGGAACAAAAAUCCUUCCAUUCACUCAUCAGUUGAAUUCAUCAGUUCCUUGACUUGAGCAGCUGCUGGACACUGGGGAUCCCAGAUGACUGUGACAGAACAGCUGGCCCGGAGGAGCUCAUUUUCUAAUUAGGGAUGAUGGUGGAGGGAGAGGAACCUAAAUUUUGAAAUAGACAAUGAUGAUAGCAUGACAAUAAAAUUACGUAUAAAGGUUAAGAUAGCACAAUCGCUAGUAAAGACAACCCUGGGCUUUCCAGAAAGGCUUCCACAGACAAGGUGAAGUUUUGGUUUGGUUUUGAAGGCCUGGUGAGGGUUUGCCAGUCAGGCAAAGGGGACACGGAUGAUAUUCGUGAAGGAUAGCAAAGGAAUGGUAUAUGGUAAAGGAAUAGAGUUUAGAACCAAACACUAUGUUUGGGGAAUGGCAUGAGGCUCUGUGUGGCUCGGGUAAGGAGUAACUAUGGGAAGGUGGGAGGUGAGAAACAAGAGGUGGAACAUCUCUGAGAUAGGUAACAGGAGUGACAGGCUCCAGGUGGCAUUGUCAAAAGAACACUGCCGACAGUGAGAUGGGCCUGAGUGAGGUGAGGCACUAGUCAGGAACGGUCCAGCUGAGAGAGAUGGAGUUCCUGAACAAUGGCAAUAAGCAUGUCGAGGAGGAGGUGAUAAGUAAUCAGAAGUCAUUUAAAAAGGUGAAGUACUAUUUACUAUCGUAAAAAGAUAUUAAUUAUUGCUAUUAUUAUCUGUCCUAACUUGGAAUCUUAGCCCCAGCGUAGCAAAUAUUUCCUGUGGCCAAUCUAACACACAAUGCCAUCUACAGUAGGUGUGUGCAACCAUCAACAGUUCUCUCCUGACUUCCCCGAAUUUAUUAUGAAGCCUAUUUGUGGAAAAAGCUUGUUUUAGCUUCUUUAAACAUCGUAAAAUAAACUUGAUUGCCCCUUUGAUUUUCUUUAAGUAUCCUGCAGAAGACCAUUAACUUUGUUUCCAGCAUGAAAGAUAAUGUCAAUACAACUUUUGUGGAAUUGGUAAAGUGGUGAAAUUUAAGGAUGUGGCUGAAGAUGCCUGUGAUUUCAUAGCCUUUUCACUUAGAUGAGUGAAUUGAUGGCUUUGCCACAGCAUGCCAGGCUUAUGAUCAAAUGGACUCCUGCUCACGUUUCUUUUAACCUUCAUUCGAAGGACUUGAGUGGCACUCGUAAUUAGAUAUGUAAACAUUUGUAAAUAUACCUUGGAUUUGUCAAUGAUUCAAUUCAACAUUUUGACCAAAUACCUAUGCUAAAUCCAUAAUGAAACAGCUGAGGAAAUAAUUUCUGGAAGAGUUUUUUCUGUUCCUCAGUGUUCCUCAGGCAGGAAGCCACAGGAAAUAAUGUAUUGUGGUGCAUAUUUCCCUGCAGGAUUCGGUGUGUCAUUCACUGUGCAGAAUUUUACUUUCCUGCUGCCUGUAGUUCACAUUUUUGUACUUGCUUUUCCCUCCAGGAUAAUUUGAUGAAGUCAGUUCCUCAGAGAUAGAAAACGUCUUUUUAUUUUUUUAAGGCCAGCUUCCCUCACCUCGCCCCCAUUGAGAGAUAAACAUGGUUAAACAGGAAAGAUUUAAGUAGUUGGAAUUAAUUAUUUUGACAUAUGAAAUAACCAUGAUUGCAAUAUGAAAUAGUCAUUAGAUAAUUUUACUAAUCUAAUAAGAUAAGUGUUUUUGGUUAAAUGAAAAUAGGGUCUGUCAAAAUUGGAGCAGUUUAAAAGGUAGUAAAUUAGAACCUGGAAUAUGGAAAUGAAACCACCCUUUUCUGGGAGAACCUCACUGUUAUUUUAUUAGGUAUGGUUUUUACUUUAAAGUUUCUCUGCAUUUCUUUACUUCUCACUUCCCUGCACCCUUUCUUUACUGGAGAGUGAAACAUUUUCCCCACUCUUAAAUGGGAAAGUGGUAGAACAGAAUGUUUUUGUCAGAACUAAUAUUCUUGUGUCAAGCAGCUUUUUUUUUCAACACCUAUACUGGAGGUUUUUCAACCCUGUGUGUGCAUUGGAAUCACCUGGAAUGCUUAAAAAAAUUGCUGAGGCACUGGACUCCAGCCCCAGAAUUACUGAUUUGGUUGGAAUGGGGUGGGGCCUGGCGUUUCUUAAAGGCUCCCAGGCCGACUGUAACAUCCGGCAGAGUUGAGACCACGGGCCUCUGCUGGCCUUUGUGCAGGCACCCCAGGCUCAUUUCCAACCUGCCCGACUUGACUUCCCUGUCAGCCACUUGACAGUCAAGUGCGGCGGGCUCAAAGGGAGGGGCCCAAGACGAUUUACUCAGGUGCAGGAAAAAUAUGAGAACGUCUACCUCUAUUUUUUCAUCUCAUCCUCUAACGAUACCUGUUUUUAAAAUUUUUUAUGGGGCACAUACUAUAUUAGUACAAUAGACUUUUUUUUUGGUAGAUGGGGCUGCACUAUCAAAACGUUCACUGCCUUUGAGAGAGGCGCAACACAAAACAUCCUUUUUCGCAUUACUACAUCUCUCAGUUCUUUGGUGUCACCAAGAGCAGCUCGAAUGUUGGCUUUGUGUCUCCUGAUUGCUACAGAGUCUUCUAGAGCUAUGGAUGGAGUCUUGCACAAUCUUUGUCCUCCCCUCCACAGCUGUAUUAUAUGAAAAACCAAAUAACACAGUCUCUCGUGCUGGAUCUUUGCCCUUCCCAGAGUUCCUGAUACAGCUUCAUCUCCUGGCCCCUUCUUAUGUGAUGAUAUGUUCACUUAAGGAAAUCCAGGAAAUACGGAAAAAAUGCAAAAGAGAAAACUAAAAGGCCCAAACCUUAGGGAGAAUUACUAUUAAUAUUUGACGGUGGAUGUCCUCCUUUGUGAAAUGCCUGUUCAAGGCUUCUGCCUAUUUUCCUCUUCAGUUGUCUGCUUUUCAUGCUGGGGGUGGUUGGAAGAGGAGGAGUAGCAUAGGAGUUCUUUGUGUCAUUGGAUGAGUUCUCCGUCAGACCACUUGAUCUGGAGGAAGCCAGCUGCCAUAGCAUGAGGACAGUUAGUGGACUAUGAAGAGGCCCAGGUGGUUAGGAAGCGAGGACCUCUGCCAACAGCUGAAGAAGAACUGGCCUUUUGUCAACAGUUCCGUGAGUAAGCCAUCUUGGAAGCAGAUUCAACAGCCCCAGGCAAGCUUUUGGAUGACUGCAGCCCUACCUGACACCUUGAUUGGAGCCUUGUGAGACCCUGAGCCAGAACCCACCCAUCUAAGCUCCUCUUGGACCCUUGACCUCAGAAGCUGUAUGAGAUAAUAAAUGUUUGCUGCUUUAAGCUGCUAAUU